UACGUAGGGUGCGAGCGUUGUCCGGAUUUAUUGGGCGUAAAGCGCCCGCAGGCGGCCAGGCAAGUCCAGGGUGAAAUCUCCCGGCUCAACCGGGAGGGUGCCCUGGAAACUGCUUGGCUUGAGGCAGGGAGAGGGAUGUGGAAUUCCCGGUGUAGUGGUGAAAUGCGUAGAUAUCGGGAGGAACACCAGUGGCGAAGGCGGCAUCCUGGCCCUGUCCUGACGCUCAGGGGCGAAAGCGUGGGGAGCAAACCGG
rnacentral:rRNA from 1 species